UACGGAGGGUGCGAGCGUUGUCCGGAAUCAUUGGGCGUAAAGGGCGCGUAGGUGGCCCGGUCAGUCUUUGGUGAAAGCGCGGGGCUCAACCCUACGUCGGCCAGGGAUACUGCCGCGGCUGGAGCACUGUAGAGGCUAGGCGGAAUUCCGGGUGUAGCGGUGGAAUGCGUAGAGAUCCGGAAGAACACCGGUGGCGAAGGCGGCCUGCUGGGCAGUUUUGCUGGACACUGAGGCGCGACAGCGUGGGGAGCAAACAGG
rnacentral:rRNA from 1 species